rnacentral:rRNA from 1 species
AUACCGGGCUCUUUGAUUCUGGUAAUUGGAAUGAGACCAAUCUAAAUCCCUUAACGGAGGAUCCAUUGGAGGGCAAAUCUGGUGCCAGCAGCCGCGGUAAUUCCAGCUCCAAUAGCGUUUAUUUAAGUUGUUGCAGUUAAAAAGCUCGUAGUUGAACCUUGGGAGGGGUCGCCCGGUUCGCCUUUGGUGAGCACCGGUCAGCUUGUCUCUUCUGUCGGACAUACGCUCCUGGCCUUAAAUGGACGGGUCGUGCCUCCAGCGCUGUUACUUUGAAGAAUUUAGAGUGCUCAAAGCAAACGUCCUACUCGCUGUAUGACUCCUAUUACAUUAGCAUGGGCUGGAGCUGGUCAAUGUAUUUGAUGAUAACACCCAUUUGGGAUAUUCGCUGCUCCUAUAUGUGGUUGGCGCUUCGGACGAUCGGAAGUCAUCAGUAAUGAUUAAUAGGGACAGUCGGGGCAUUCGUAUUUCAUAGUCAGAGGUGAAAUUCAUGGAUUUAUGAAAGACGAACAACUGCGAAAGCAUUUGCCAAGUGUUUUCAUUAAUCAAAACGGAAAGUGGACUCAGUUGGGCUCGAAAGACGAAUCAGACGUGGAUGUCCUUCGUCUCAACCAUAAAACGAUUGGUGUGAAUACCAGGUGGAAUCGCACGUGAUUGUUUGCUUUUAGACUGCGCCUAGCACCUUCAUGAGAAUCAAAAGGUUUUGGGUUCCGGGGGAGGAUGGUCGCAACGCUGAAACUUAAAGGAAUAGACGGAAGGGCACCACCAGGAGUUGAGCCUGCGGCUUAAUUUGUCUCAACACGGGGAAACUUUCCAGGUCCAGACAUAGUAGGGAUUGACAGACUGAGAGACCUUUCUUGAUUCUAUGGGAGGUGGUGCAUGGCCGUUCUUAGUUGGUGGAUCGAUUUGUCUGGUUAAUUCAGUUAACGAACGAGACCUCAGCCUGCUAAGUAGCUACGUGGCGGCAUCCCUUCACGGCCGGAUUCUUAGAGGGACUAUGGCCGUUUAGGCCAAGAAAGUUUGAGUCAAUAACAGGUCUGUGAUGCCCUUAGAUGUUCUGGGCCGGCCGCGCGCUACACUGAUGCAUUCAACGAGCUCACACCCUGGCCGACAGGCCCGGGUAAUCUUUGUAAUUUCAUCGUGAUGGGGUUAGAUCAUUGCAAUUGUUGUGCUUCAACGAGGAAUUCCUAAUAAGCGCGAGUCAUCAGCUCGCGUUGACUACGUCCCUGCCGUUUGUACACACCUCCUGUCGCUCCUACCGAUUGAAAGAUCCGGUGAAGUGUUCGAAUCGCGGCGACGCGGGUGGCUCGCCGUCUGCGACGCCGCGAGAAGCCCACUAAAACUUAUCAUUUAAAGGAAGGAGAAGUCGUAACAAGGUUUCCGUAGGUUAACCUGCGGAAG